rnacentral:rRNA from 1 species
CAAAGGCAUGGUCCCGACCUUACUAUCAGCUCUAGCCCGACUUACACAUGCAAGUCUCCGAACCCCGUGAGUAAGCCCCUUAAUCCCCUGCCCGGGGACGAGGAGUAGGCAUCAGGCACAAAUCUUUAGCCCAAGACGCCAGGCCGAGCCACACCCCCAAGGGAAUUCAGCAGUGAUAAAUAUUAAGCCAUAAGUAAAAACUUGACUCAAUUAGCGCUAAGUAGGGCCGGUAAAACUCGUGCCAGCCACCGCGGUUAAACGAGAGGCCCAAGUUGAUAGUAUAACGGCGUAAAGGGUGGUUAAGGAUAAUAAAAUAAUAAAGUCGAACGGCCCUUUGGCUGUCAUACGCUUCUAGGAGUCCGAAGCCCAAUAUGCGAAAGUAGCUUUAGAAAAGCCCACCUGACCCCACGAAAGCUGAGAAACAAACUGGGAUUAGAUACCCCACUAUGCUCAGCCAUAAACCCAGAUAUCCUCCUACAAUUAGAUAUCCGCCCGGGUACUACGAGCAUUAGCUUGAAACCCAAAGGACCUGACGGUGUCUCAAACCCCCCUAGAGGAGCCUGUUCUAGAACCGAUAACCCCCGUUAAACCUCACCACUUCUAGCCAUCCCAGCCUAUAUACCGCCGUCGUCAGCUUACCCUGUGAAGCAAUAAAAGUAAGAAGANUGAAUAUAAUCCAGAACGUCAGGUCGAGGUGUAGCGUACGAAGCGGGAAGAAAUGGGCUACAUUUUCUAUUAUAGAACACUACGGACAUGCAACAUGAAAUAGUGCUUGAAGGAGGAUUUAGUAGUAAAAAGGAAGCAGCGUG